UACCAUCUUCGCUAGCCAAGGGUGACGAUCCACGGUGUUUCUCUAUAUAGCCAAGGGUGACGAUCCACGGUGUUUCUCUAAUAGAGAAACACCGUGGAUCGUCACCCUUGGCUAGCGAAGAUGU
rnacentral:pre_miRNA from 10 species